rnacentral:rRNA from 1 species
CCUACGGGGGGCUGCAGUAGGGAAUAUUGCGCAAUGGGGGAAACCCUGAAGCAGCAACGCCGCGUGGAGGAUGAAGGUUUUCGGAUUGUAAACUCCUUUUGUUAGAGAAGAUAAUGACGGUAUCUAACGAAUAAGCACCGUCUAACUCCGUGCCAGCAGCCGCGGUAAUACGGAGGGUGCAAGCGUUACUCGGAAUCACUGGGCGUAAGGAGCGCGGAGGCGGGAUAGCAAGUCAGAUGUGAAAUCCUAUGGCUUAACCAUAGAACUGCAUUUGAAACUGUUAUUCUAGAGUAUGGGAGAGGUAGGUGGAAUUCUUGGUGUAGGGGUAAAAUCCGUAGAGAUCAAGAGGAAUACUCAUUGCGAAGGCGACCUGCUAGAACAUAACUGACGCUGAUGCGCGAAAGCGUGGGGAGCAAACAGGAUUAGAUACCCUAGUAGUC